AAAUGCGUAGAGAUGCGGAGGAACACCGAUGGCGAAGGCAGCCCCCUGGGCUAACACUGACGCUCAGGCACGAAAGCGUGGGGAGCAAACAGGAUUAGAUACCCUGGUAGUCCACGCCCUAAACGAUGUCCACUAGGUGUUGGGGAAGCAAUUUUCCUGUACCGAAGCUAACGCGUGAAGUGGUCCGCCUGGGGAGUACGGUCGCAAGAUUAAAACUCAAAGGAAUUGACGGGGACCCGCACAAGCGGUGGAUGAUGUGGAUUAAUUCGAUGCAACGCGAACAACCUUACCUACCCUUGACAUGUCCGGAAGCCUGCUGAGAGGCGGGUGUGCCCGAAAGGGAACUGGAACACAGGUGCCUGCAU
rnacentral:rRNA from 1 species